rnacentral:rRNA from 1 species
GACGAACGCUGGCGGCGUGCUUAACACAUGCAAGUCGAACGGGAUUUAGUAGACAGAAACCUCGGUGGAAGAUUACUAAUGAGAGUGGCGAACGGGUGAGUAACGCGUGAGCAACCUGCCUAUGACAGUGGGAUAGCCUCGGGAAACCGGGAUUAAUACCGCAUAAAAUCGUAGAAACACAUGUUUCAACGGUCAAAGAUUUAUCGGUCAUAGAUGGGCUCGCGUCUGAUUAGCUAGUUGGUGAGAUAACAGCCCACCAAGGCGACGAUCAGUAGCCGGUCUGAGAGGAUGAACGGCCACAUUGGAACUGAGACACGGUCCAAACUCCUACGGGAGGCAGCAGUGGGGAAUAUUGCACAAUGGGGGAAACCCUGAUGCAGCGACGCCGCGUGAGCGAAGAAGGUAUUCGUAUCGUAAAGUUCUGUCCUAUGGGAAGAUAAUGACAGUACCAUAGAAGAAAGCUCCGGCUAAAUACGUGCCAGCAGCCGCGGUAAUACGUAUGGAGCGAGCGUUGUCCGGAAUUAUUGGGCGUAAAGGGUACGCAGGCGGUUUAAUAAGUCGAAUGUUAAAGAUCGGGGCUCAACCCCGUAAAGCAUUGGAAACUGAUAAACUUGAGUAGUGGAGAGGAAAGUGGAAUUCCUAGUGUAGUGGUGAAAUACGUAGAUAUUAGGAGGAAUACCAGUAGCGAAGGCGACUUUCUGGACACAAACUGACGCUGAGGUACGAAAGCGUGGGGAGCAAACAGG